CACGUGGGGGUAACCCUGCCCAAGAGAUCGGGGAUAACACCUGGAAACAGAAUGCUAUACCGGAUAACAACAGAUGAUGCCUAUCAACUGUUUAAAGAUGUUCUGCUAUCACUCUUGGAUGGACCUGCGGUGCAUUAGCUAGUUGGUAGGGGUAACGGGCCUACCAAGGCGAUGAUGCAUAGCCCGAGUUGAGAGACUGAUCGGGCCACAUUGGGACUGAGACACGGGCCCAAACUCCUACGGGAGGCAGCAGUAGGGGAAUCUUCCACAAUGGACGCAAAGUCUGAUGGAGCAAAACGCCGCGUGAGUGAAGAAGGGUUUCGGCUCGUAAAAGCUCUGUUGUUGGUGAAGAAGGACAGGGGUAGUAACUGACCCUUUGUUUGACGGUAAUCAAUUUAGAAAGUCACGGGCUAACUACGUGCCCAGCAGCCGCGGUAAAU
rnacentral:rRNA from 1 species